rfam:Gossypium raimondii Chr09_contig_116, whole genome shotgun sequence.
CACGUCAGAGCGCUUUGUUGACAUGGACACAGAUCGCGCUUAUGUGGACGCUAUUUGUUGCCACGUCAGCAAAGCGCGCUGACGUGU